AAAGAAAACGAAAUGUGCUUUCAAUCUCGGAUGCAGAGUACCACGUGGUUGUCUCCCUGUUCUGCUUUCCAGAUCCCAAAUCACACACCCCGGGCGCCCCCGCCCCCCUAUUCCCUCCGUCUCUGACCCCCGCGGCCGGAGAUGGUGAGCGAGGCCACGGCCGUCAGGAAGAAGGCGAGCAUCGAGGCGACGACGAGGCCGAGCAGCGUCUCGCGGUCGGUGAAGGUGCGGCCGAAGAGCACGACGGGCUGGUCGGAGGCGGGGAAGCCAUAGAGGAAGCACCAGGCCUGCGCCGAGGAUGCUGAGGAGGACGAGGAGUGAGAAGGGGUGCGCCAGCAGCGAGGCCGCGAGGAAGAAGACCACCACAGCAGACGCGGAAAUAACGAGAUUGCGGCGCAGGCGCGAGGUGGCUGUUGUGACAAAAUUGGAAUGAGCCCAGUUUUUUCGGUACUCUAUUUGAGCAUGUUACAUCGGAGUAUCGUGUGCUUUUCAAUUGACGAAUUUCAUUCCCCCCAAUUGAAUCAGGUGUCCCUUAUUGUUUUUACUUGGAAAUCUGCACCAAAUCAGUUUGUGUGCCUGCUAUCUAGAGCCUGUUAUUUUCGCCCAUAUCUUGUAUGUCAUUUAUAAUUAUUCUUUUUCAUAAGUAUGUACGGCUUUUACAAACUUCAGAGGCUUGCGAAUGAGAGCUGCGAUGAAGUAUGCAUGGUGUUCUUGCUGUUUUGUUUGCUGAGACUGUGGCCAAAGAGUAAGUGAUCUGUUACUGAACCUAAACAUUGCAAGAGAGCAUGGGCAAUGGGCCUGCGAUUUCCUCCUGGCCUUAUUGUAUUAGUACUACUAGGAAGUAUCUGAUGGUGGAAGAAGUUGUGGGAUAGAUUAUCCACUAUAUAUAGAAAGUUCAAUGUGCCAAAUUUCAGUUAUCAAAUGAGGGUGCAUAUCACCAUUUGAAAUUUUGUAAUGUUCAACAUCUAUUCUCAGCGACAACCCUAUAAAAAAAAUCUGUGUCAACUGUAAAACAUCUGCAUUGUUUGCUGAAUCCUUAGUUCUGUAACUAUCAUGAUAGAUACCGAACCAUCUGUAUCCAGAGUCUACUUCGGACAUCUUGUGGCUAGAGUAUAUAGUAAUGGUGAUUAGUAAAACAAUAAUAUAAGAUCUGCAUUGUGUUAAUGGAUCAAUUGUUGGUUUUGUUGUGGAAUUUUGAAACCUGUUUCACCUGAAUGUAUAUGUCAAGGUUCUAUCGGCAAGGUUUGAAGUUGUGGGAUCUAACUUUGAACUAGAAGUAUUUUGCUAUUUUCCAAUUGUGUGGUCGCCACGAAAGAGUUACUGUCAGUUCUUCAUAUAUGAACAAUUAAUUUAUUUAUUUCCAAUUUAACAAGAGAGUAGAUCUGAUAUUAUAUUAGGACGAUUUUUCUUUAUAUGGAGAAAGUGCUUUUGUUCAGUGUCAGAUUAGCCAAUGUUACUGGUUAUUAAAAAGAGUUGGCUGGGUUAGUUGAGUUGUACAAGUUCUCAUUUGCACAAUUUCCAUUUUGUAUGUCAAUAGGGAUCCUGAUUGGUUGAUCAAUAUUUUUUUACCUGACUUUUUUGUUUUUUUGGUAAAUCAUGCUGCUGUACCUGAUUACAGGGACAUAUUAUAGCUAAGAUGACAUCUAUGGAGAAGCACAUCAAUGAAGAAAAAACGGCAUGGCUGGUUAAUAUUUGUCUCAGAACUGGAAGAGAUGGUCAUGAAGACUGCUGAAAAUGAUAUCCGGCUUGCAAGGUGCGCUUUGAAGUAUAUAUGCAGAUAGUGAAAUUUAGGCUCACCGCAAGUUGCUCUUACACCUUCAAUAGAUUAUUGAGGGCCAUUCUGCAGCCAUUGAGGUGAGGAAACUGUCACUAGCUAAGAAGUAUGUCUCUUAAAACAACUAAAUAACAUAUACACCAUGCCAUGCUAUCCUGUUACAUUUCCUCAGUCAAGCACACAACACCUAUGAUGUAUGAUAAAAUUGACGAAUUAAAAUGGGGUCACUGUUUCUGGCAAAAAAAAAGUGCGCUGCAUAUAGUUUCACUUAAUUAGAACUGGUCAAGUAAGAGAGUGACCAUGGUAUAUUUAUUUUCUUUACAUGGUUUUGUUUGUAAAGCAAACUUAUAAUUUUGAUAUGUAUGUUCCAAGUAUAGUUAAUUAGAGGGCCCCAUAUGUCAUGGACACAUGAUUACUGUGAUGAUAAGAGACACCUGAAGCGAAUGAAUUUGGAAAUGGAAGGAAAUAUUUGAUAAGGAGAUCGUUGCAUGAUGAGGUCAGGAUUCAUAUGUAUGUUUGUUGAUUAUUCCCAGCUGAAUAUUCUGAUUCAAUUUUAUUUUCAACAACUUGAAAUUAUUGAUGGCCACAUUUCUCUGUAUAUGAUUUAGGCUUUGCAGAAGUGGCAACAAUUUCUAUUUCUUCUGGCGGACAGGUUUUGUUGGUGUAUAAUACAUUACGCUGUCGUGUGGCUAGGGGUCUUAAAAGAAUUAUAUAUUUUGUCAGACAAGAAAGUCCACUAUCUUUGUAGCAACAAAUGCACACAUUGUUUAGGUGGAAUCUGCGGGCUUAUCUAAAGUAACAGUUUUCAUAGUGCAGGAUCAAUGUUCAUUUUCUUAAAUAUGAAUAAUUUUCUCUUGUUCAUGGUUGCUCUAGCAAAUAAGUGUUCUUCGUUGCUCU